AACGAACGCUGGCGGCAGGCUUAACACAUGCAAGUCGAGCGCCCCGCAAGGGGAGCGGCAGACGGGUGAGUAACGCGUGGGAACGUACCCUUUGCUACGGAAUAGCUCCGGGAAACUGGAAUUAAUACCGUAUGUGCCCUACGGGGGAAAGAUUUAUCGGCAAAGGAUCGGCCCGCGUUGGAUUAGCUAGUUGGUGGGGUAAUGGCCUACCAAGGCGACGAUCCAUAGCUGGUCUGAGAGGAUGAUCAGCCACAUUGGGACUGUGACACGGCCCAAACUCCUACGGGAGGCAGCAGUGGGGAAUAUCGGACAAUGGGCGCAAGCCUGAUCCAGCCAUGCCGCGUGAGUGAUGAAGGCCUUAGGGUUGUAAAGCUCUUUCACCGGAGAAGAUAAUGACGGUAUCCGGAGAAGAAGCCCCGGCUAACUUCGUGCCAGCCGCCGCAGUAAGAC
rnacentral:rRNA from 1 species